rnacentral:tRNA from 1 species
UGGCUGAGCGGUAAAGCGCUUUGCUUCUGAAAAGGGGGUCCCGGGUUCGAAUCCUGG